rnacentral:rRNA from 1 species
UACGGAGGGUGCAAGCGUUAAUCGGAAUUACUGGGCGUAAAGCGUACGUAGGCGGCUUGUUAAGCAAGAUGUGAAAUCCCCGGGCUCAACCUGGGAAUGGCAUUUUGAACUGGCAGGCUCGAGUUCUGAAGAGGGUGGUAGAAUUUCCAGUGUAGCGGUGAAAUGCGUAGAUAUCGGGAGGAACACCAGUAGCGAAGGCGGCCAUCUGGCUGGUAACUGACGCUGAGGUGCGAGAGCGUGGGGAGCAAACAGG